rnacentral:sRNA from 1 species
CAAGGCCUCUGUCCACAGCCCCGAGCCUGGAGAUGAGGGGGAGCCGGGGCGGUCGGGACUGGAGCUUGAACCAGAAGAGCCUCCCGGCUGGCGGGAACUCGUCCCCCCAGACACCCUGCACAGCCUGCCCAAGAGCCAGGUGAAGCGGCAGGAGGUCAUCAGCGGCUAGAGUGCAGUGGCACGAUCUCGGCUCACUGCAACCUCCACCUCCCAGGUUCAAGCGAUUGUCCUGCCUCAGCCUCCCGAGUAGCUGGAACUACAGAGCUGCUGGUGACAGAGGCGGCCCACGUGCGCAUGCUGCGGGUGCUGCACGACCUCUUCUUCCAGCCCAUGGCAGAAUGCCUGUUCUUCCCCUUGGAGGAGCUGCAGAACAUCUUCCCCAGCCUGGACGAGCUCAUCGAGGUGCAUUCCCUGUUCCUCGAUUCCCUGGUGAAGCGGAGGCAGGAGAGUGGCUACCUCAUCGAGGAGAUCGGAGACGUGCUGCUGGCCCGGUUUGAUGGUGCUGAGGGCUCCUGGUUCCAGAAAAUCUCCUCCCGCUUCUGCAGCCGCCAGUCAUUUGCCUUAGAGCAGCUCAAAGCCAAGCAACGCAAGGACCCUCGGUUCUGUGCCUUCGUGCAGGAAGCUGAGAGCCGCCCGCGGUGCCGCCGCCUGCAGCUGAAGGACAUGAUCCCCACGGAGAUGCAGCGGCUAACCAAGUACCCCCUGCUCCUGCAGAGCAUCGGGCAGAACACAGAAGAGCCCACAGAACGGGAGAAAGUGGAGCUGGCAGCCGAGUGCUGCCGGGAAAUUCUACACCACGUCAACCAAGCCGUGCGUGACAUGGAGGACCUGCUG